rnacentral:rRNA from 1 species
CUUAACGGUAAAAUGGCCUUCGAUACUGGUGGUCUUGAGUCCAGAAGAGGCCGGUGGAAUUCGUGGUGUAGCGGUGAAAUGCAUAGAUAUCACGAAGAACACCAGUGGCGAAGGCGGCCGGCUGGUCUGGAACUGACGCUGAGGCACGAGAGCGUGGGGAGCGAACAGGAUUAGAUACCCUGGUAGUCCACGCUGUAAACGAUGUGUGCUAGGUGUUGGCCCUUCGGGGUCAGUGCCGCAGCUAACGCAGUAAGCACACCACCUGGGGAGUACGUCCGCAAGGAUGAAACUCAAAGGAAUUGACGGGGGCCCGCACAAGCGGUGGAGCAUGUGGCUUAAUUCGAUGCAACGCGAAGAACCUUACCCAGGCUAAAUCCUGGGCGACCGGCCCGGAAACGGGCCUUCCCUUCGGGGCGC